rnacentral:rRNA from 1 species
AACGAACGCUGGCGGCGUGCCUAACACAUGCAAGUCGAACGAGAAAGGGGCUUCGGCUCCGAGUAAAGUGGCGCACGGGUGAGUAACACGUGGGUAACCUGCCUCUAAGAUUGGGAUAACUCGUCGAAAGAUGAGCCAAUACCGAAUAAGACCACAGUUCCCGCGGGAACAGGGGUCAAAGGUAGCCUCUGCUUGCAAGCUAUCACUUAGAGAUGGGCCUGCGCACCAUUAGCUAGUUGGUAGGGUAACGGCCUACCAAGGCAAAGAUGGUUAGCUGGUCUGAGAGGAUGAUCAGCCACACUGGAACUGAGACACGGUCCAGACUCCUACGGGAGGCAGCAGUGGGGAAUAUUGCGCAAUGGGCGAAAGCUUGACGCAGCAACGCCGCGUGAGUGAUGAAGGCCUUCGGGUCGUAAAGCUCUGUCGGGAGGAACGAAUGCUCCUGAGGUUAACAGCCUCGGGAGGUGACGGUACCUUCAAAGGAAGCACCGGCUAACUCUGUG